AUUGAACGCUGGCGGUAGGCUUAACACAUGCAAGUCGAGCGAGCGGCGGACGGGUGAGUAAUGUCUGGGAAACUGCCUGAUGGAGGGGGAUAACUACUGGAAACGGUAGCUAAUACCGCAUACCAUCAGAUGUGCCCAGAUGGGAUUAGCUAGUAGGUGGGGUAAUGGCUCACCUAGGCGACGAUCCCUAGCUGGUCUGAGAGGAUGACCAGCCAAACUGGAACUGAGACACGGCACAGACUCAUACGGGAGGCAGCAGUGGGGAAUAUUGCACAAUGGGCGCAAGCCUGAUGCAGCCAUGCCGGGUGUGUGAAGAAGGCAUUGGGGUUGUAAAGCACUUUCAGCGAGGAGGCGUUACUCGAAGAAGAAGCACCGGCUAACUCCGUGCCAGCGGCCGCGGUAAUAC
rnacentral:rRNA from 1 species